rnacentral:rRNA from 1 species
GACGAACGCUGGCGGCGUGCCUAAUACAUGCAAGUAGAACGCUGAAGAGAGGAGCUUGCUCUUCUUGGAUGAGUUGCGAACGGGUGAGUAACGCGUAGGUAACCUGCCUGGUAGCGGGGGAUAACUAUUGGAAACGAUAGCUAAUACCGCAUGAAAUUGAUUAUCGCAUGAUACUUAAUUGAAAGAUGCAAUUGCAUCACUACCAGAUGGACCUGCGUUGUAUUAGCUAGUUGGUGAGGUAACGGCUCACCAAGGCGACGAUACAUAGCCGACCUGAGAGGGUGAUCGGCCACACUGGGACUGAGACACGGCCCAGACUCCUACGGGAGGCAGCAGUAGGGAAUCUUCGGCAAUGGGGGGAACCCUGACCGAGCAACGCCGCGUGAGUGAAGAAGGUUUUCGGAUCGUAAAGCUCUGUUGUAAGAGAAGAACGGGUGUGAGAGUGGAAAGUUCACACUGUGACG